GAUGAACGCUGGCGGCAUGCCUAAUACAUGCAAGUCGAACGAGAGGAAGGAAAGCUUGCUUUUCUGAAUCUAGUGGCGAACGGGUGAGUAACACGUAGGUAACCUGCCCAUGUGCCCGGGAUAACUUCUGGAAACGGAUGCUAAAACCGGAUAGGUAGCAGACAAGCAUUUGACUGCUAUUAAAGUGGCUAAGGCCAUGAACAUGGAUGGACCUGCGGUGCAUUAGCUAGUUGGUGAGGGAACGGCCCACCAAGGCGACGAAGCAUAGCCGGCCGGAGAGAGCGGACGGCCACAUUGGGACUGAGACACGGCCCAAACUCCGACGGGAGGCAGCAGGAGGGAAUUUUCGUCAAUGGGGGGAACCCUGAACGGGCAAUGCCGCGUGAGUGAGGAAGGUCUUCGGAUCGUAAAGCUCUGUUGUAAGAGAAAAACGACAUUCAUAGGGAAUGAUGAGUGAGUGAUGGUAUCUUACCAGAAAGUCACGGCUAACUACGUGCCAGCCGCCGCUGUAA
rnacentral:rRNA from 1 species